rnacentral:lncRNA from 1 species
AAUACCUUAACUUUGAGUGCCCAUACCUCCUUCAUAUAUAAUCCAAAUCACACAUAAUUCAUACCAAAACCAUAGCCAAAAACCUAAACUUACUGAUCUUAGCCUCCAAAGCUUAAAUCCCCCCAAAAGACUAAUCUUAAUCCCUAAUAUGGCCUCGGACAGCCUUCUUGAAGCCCAUUGGUCAUGAUUUUUGACCAAUAAGAAUAGAGAUUUAUAUUAUUCAUCUCCAUUCAUCCAUAUGGAUGCCUUAAUUAUCCUUUUUGCUACCAAAUCCCUCUCAAAUCCUUUUUCUUAUAAGAUUUAUAUAAUAUAUGUCCUAAACGUUGAAUCAAAGAACCAAAAUAAGACUUUAAGCAUCACUAAU